rnacentral:rRNA from 1 species
GCAAGUCGAACGAGAACGGAACUUCGGUUCUUAUUAAAGUGGCGAAAGGGCGAGUAACGCGUGUUUACGUGCCCCUAGGUCAGGGAUAGCCAUUAGAAAUGAUGAUUAAUACCUGAUAAUCUCCUUCGGGAGCAAAGAUUUAUUGCCUAGGGAUCGGAAUGCGUCCUAUCAGCUAGUUGGUGAGGUAAAUGCUCACCAAGGCUAAGACGGGUAGCGGGUGUGAGAGCACGGAC